AAUAGAUACCCUGGUAGUCCACGCCCUAAACGAUGUCGACUAGGUGUUGGGGAAGGAGACUUCCUUAGUGCCGCAGCUAACGCGUGAAGUCGACCGCCUGGGGAGUACGGUCGCAAGAUUAAAACUCAAAGGAAUUGACGGGGACCCGCACAAGCGGUGGAUGAUGUGGAUUAAUUCGAUGCAACGCGAAAAACCUUACCUACCCUUGACAUGGUCGGAAGCCCGAUGAGAGUUGGGUGUGCCCGAAAGGGAGCCGACACACAGGUGCUGCAUGGCUGUCGUCAGCUCGUGUCGUGAGAUGUUGGGUUAAGUCCCGCAACGAGCGCAACCCUUGCCAUUAGUUGCCACAUUCAGUUGGGCACUCUAAUGGGACUGCCGGUGACAAACCGGAGGAAGGUGGGGAUGACGUCAAGUCCUCAUGGCCCUUAUGGGUAGGGCCUCACACGUCAUACAAUGGCGCAUACAGAGGGUUGCCAACCCGGCGAGGGGGAGCCAAUCCCAGAAAGUGCGUCGUAGUCCGGAUCGGAGUCUGC
rnacentral:rRNA from 1 species